GUGAAAACCAGGGGAGACCUGAGGGACAUCACAAGCUUGGUUCCUACCAGGUUUAUGGAGCCGUACAUCUUUGGGAGCCGCCUGGACCACGACAUCAUCGACCUGGAACAGACAGCCGUGCACCUCCAGCUGGCCUUGAACUUCACCGCCCACAUGGCCUACCGCAAGGGCAUCAUCUUGUUUAUAAGCCGCAACCGGCAGUUCUCAUACCUGAUUGAGAACACGGCCCGUGACUGUGGCGAGUACGCCCACACUCGCUACUUCAAGGGCGGCAUGCUGACCAACGCGCGCCUCCUCUUUGGCCCCACGGUCCGCCUGCCGGACCUCAUCAUCUUCCUGCACACGCUCAACAACAUCUUUGAGCCACACGUGGCCGUGAGAGACGCAGCCAAGAUGAACAUCCCCACAGUGGGCAUCGUGGACACCAACUGCAACCCCUGCCUAAUCACCUACCCUGUACCCGGCAACGACGACUCCCCGCUGGCCGUGCACCUC
rnacentral:sRNA from 1 species